rnacentral:rRNA from 1 species
UGAGGAAUAUUGCGCAAUGGGCGAAAGCCUGACGCAGCGACGCCGCGUGGAGGACGAAGGCCUUCGGGUUGUAAACUUCUGUUAAAUGGGAAGAAAUACGCAGGUUUAAUAAACCUGUGGGCUGACGGUACCAUUAGAGAAAGCACCGGCUAACUUCGUGCCAGCAGCCGCGGUAAUACGAAGGGUGCGAGCGUUAUUCGGAAUCAUUGGGCGUAAAGGGUGCGUAGGCGGCAUGCUAAGUCAACUGUUUAAUCCCUCGGCUUAACCGAGGUUCAGCAGUAGAUACUGAUGUGCUUGAGUAUGGAAGAGAGGAGUGGAAUUCUCGGAGUAGCGGUAAAAUGCGUAGAUCUCGAGAGGAACACCAAUGGCGAAGGCAGCUCCUUGGUCCAUUACUGACGCUGAUGCACGAAAGCGUGGGGAGCAAACA